rnacentral:rRNA from 1 species
GAUGAAUGCUGGCGGCGUGCCUAACACAUGCAAGUCGAGCGGCAGCGAGGGGUGCUUGCACCCUGUCGGCGAGCGGCGAACGGCUGAGUAACGCGUAGGAAUUUGCCCCAAAGUGAGGAAUAACUGCCCGAAAGGGUAGCUAAUGCCGCAUAUGGUCUUCGGAUUAAAGGAUUUAUCCGCUUUGGGAGAAGCCUGCGUUGGAUUAGGUUGUUGGUAGGGUAAUGGCCUACCAAGCCGACGAUCCAUAGCUGGUCUGAGAGGAUGAUCAGCCAGACUGGAACUGAGACACGGUCCAGACUCCUACGGGAGGCAGCAGUGAGGAAUCUUCCACAAUGGGCGAAAGCCUGAUGGAGCAACGCCGCGUGAAGGAUGAAGGCCUUCGGGUUGUAAACUUCUUUUAUGAGUGGAGAAUAUGACGGUAACUCGUGAAUAAGCACCGGCUAACUACGUG